rnacentral:rRNA from 1 species
GUAGGGAAUCUUCCGCAAUGGACGAAAGUCUGACGGAGCAACGCCGCGUGAGCGAUGAAGGUUUUCGGAUCGUAAAGCUCUGUUGUUAGGGAAGAACAAGUAUCGGAGUAACUGCCGGUACCUUGACGGUACCUAACCAGAAAGCCACGGCUAACUACGUGCCAGCAGCCGCGGUAAUACGUAGGUGGCAAGCGUUGUCCGGAUUUAUUGGGCGUAAAGCGCGCGCAGGCGGUCCUUUAAGUCUGAUGUGAAAUCUUGCGGCUCAACCGCAAGCGGUCAUUGGAAACUGGGGGACUUGAGUACAGAAGAGGAAAGUGGAAUUCCACGUGUAGCGGUGAAAUGCGUAGAGAUGUGGAGGAACACCAGUGGCGAAGGCGACUUUCUGGUCUGUAACUGACGCUGAGGCGCGAAAGCGUGGGGAGCAAACAGGAUUAGAAACCCGGGUAGUCC